rnacentral:rRNA from 1 species
UGAGGGAUAUUGCACAAUGGGCGAAAGCCUGAUGCAGCGACGCCGCGUGAGGGAUGACGGUCUUCGGAUUGUAAACCUCUGUCCUUGGUGAAGAAGAAAGUGACGGUAGCCAAGGAGGAAGCCACGGCUAACUACGUGCCAGCAGCCGCGGUAAUACGUAGGUGGCAAGCGUUGUCCGGAAUUACUGGGUGUAAAGGGAGCGCAGGCGGGCUUGCAAGUCAGCUGUGAAAUUCAAGGGCUUAACCCUUGACAUGCAGUUGAAACUACAGGUCUUGAGUGAAGUAGAGGUAGGCGGAAUUCCGAGUGUAGCGGUAAAAUGCGUAGAUAUUCGGAGGAACACCGGUGGCGAAGGCGGCCUACUGGGCUUUUACUGACGCUGAGGCUCGAAAGUGUGGGGAGCAAACAGG